rnacentral:lncRNA from 1 species
UGGAAAUCUUGGGACAUUUUUUUUCUCCUAUCAGGAUCGAAAGAGCUGGCGAUUCUAGUAUGAAUCGCGUAAAAAAUACCCAGUAGGGUGAACAACUUUGAAAAAAAAAAAAAAUGGGCCAUUCGCUCCUUUUUUGGCAACUGCCUUAGAACAGGUGUAGGAACAGUCAGCAGCUGGUUGUUAAUCGAGCCAGAAUUGCAAAAUAAGAUACGGCUUUCUUUACACAAGGGUAUUCGUGUUUUAUUCAGGUACGACAUAGGCCCUUUAUCCGUCUGAAAUUUCAAAUAGAAAUUCUGAUGAAAAGGUCCUUUUUGCAUAUGACAGAAGCAUAAAUACACUGUAGUAGCAUAGCUAUGUAUUAUAUUAUAAAAAAUACAAUUGUGUACAUUUCCGUAUAUUGCAGGGCACAUAUUUGUGUGGCAAAACGAACUUUCUCUUAACGACCACUGCUGCUGACUACGAACGUAGAACGUUUUAACGGAUUUUCGUUGGAUUGUUCAAUAUUUGCUAGCUCGUAAGGUAGUCGACUAGUAGUAUUUUUAUACGUAAUUCAUACUUUCUUAAUAAUUAAUUCUUUCUAUGGUCAUUCGGCUUUUACAAAUUUUUCAAUGUUGUAAAUGGAAAAAUGUUGUAAAAUAAGGGUUACUUUGGUACCUUUUUGGUACGGAACCCUAAAAACGAAGGACUAAAAAAUUGUAAUUUAAAAUUGUAUUUAUAUAUGUCUUUCCGGCUCAAUAUAAAAGUUUCGGUUUGACUUGUAGCCAUGUAUCUUAUUUAAUUGUCUACAAAGGGUUAUUGAUUGUAAAAGAUGUGAAUUAAGUAAUAACAGCAGUACAAAUAAAAAACAAAAAAAUAGCUAUCGAACCUGUUGACAUAAUUUCUUGAGAAUAUUCUAAAAGAGAUUUCUGGAUCAUUUUUCACCAGAUGGCGAUAUUGAGUUGAGCCUGAGAUGAUUCAGUUUCUGACAACAAACUUAAAAAUCUAUUAAAUCAUAAAUGACGAUUUAAUGCGAUUCGUGGCGUUUGGUGGAUAGUUAUCAAUUUAUCAUUAUCGUAUAUCGUAUCGCAUCUACAUUAGCUGGCAAUGUAAAGCACGAAGUUGUCUUAGGUUUUAUUUGUAACAACAUAAACACAUUUAUUACACACUUCUAAUACAAUCAAUAAAUCUUUGAAAUAUAUAAAUAAUAACAAACUAUUUAUUUAUCUCGUGUGUUUAAUUAUAACGAUUUGGAUAGUGAUUAUUUUUUUAUGUAAUGCAUUGUAAUUUUGUACCGCCUAAAUUAUAGUCAAAAUAAAAUUGUAACCCUUAUUUAACUUUAGUUGUCUAAAUGUAAAUAUUAUUUAAAAUUGUUAUUUUCUUUAAACAAACGUAUGAUAAAUACGUAAUUAUUUAACAUUACUUUUAUAAAUAAGAUUAAUAUUUUAACAUAUAGGGUGGCAUAAUGGUUGGUCCUAGUUACCCUGUUCAAUGUAUUGGACAAUGUCGGAUUAACUCAUCGUAUGCUUAUGCACGGAUCCGUGCGUAAAAUUGUUUGCUCUACAUGGCAUAGCCGUGGGUUCCAACCCACGAUUUUUGACCCAUCCGCACACGAGGGGUUAAGGGCCCAUUUACACUUAUUUAGCCACCGUUGCUGCAGUUAAGUUGAGCCAACUCGGUGCGCGGCUAAUACGCUACCAAGAGUGAAAAAAACUGGCCACUUUUACGUAGACUCUUUUGUCUACAUGGUGACCCAUUUUAAUAUCCUUUCAACCUCAUGAUUAGGGCGUUUUUCCCGGGUAGCCAGAUCAAGCAAAAUUGACAGCGAUUUGGGUAGCACUGUCCCUGUUAAUUAUUUUACCUCUCAUAGUUUUAUAGAAGUUUAAAACACCGCGCAUUCUGUGCUCUCAAAAUCGCUGCCAGCUUAGCUUGGUCCGACUCUAGCCGCAGACUGUUGGUAACAGACUGCGAUAAUCCGACAAAGUUAAAAAGCCCAAGUAGGUACGGAAAUCAUUUGACAUAAACGGGUUUUGUACUUUCACCGGGGACUAUGGUGAACUUUACCUACUAUUUGCAGUUAGCUACGGAAGUAUCUUAACAUCUACCUGUGAAAAGAAAAGUGUAUUAAUUCUGCCACGUGAUUUGAAAUCUUAAUGAGUCAUAUAAUUUAGAAGGCUUUGCCGUAUAAGAUAUUUCAUAACGUAUGGUCACAAGACUAGAGAUAACGGUACCCCACGCAAGCAAGUUGCCAUAUAGGGAGAUCAGUUAUCUCUGUAGAAUAGAGGUGCCUUAAUGCCCGGUUAGAGUACGAUCUAUUGGUAGCAGUCACCAAGAAUAAUGUACACUUGACUACCUAAAUAAACUAUCCAAACAUAAA